CAAAAGGGGCGGUCUUUCUCGUUUCCCGCGUGAAAUUAGCGCAUUUCCCUCCAAAAAGUUAGAUGUGUAUAUAUUCAGCUGACUGAUCAUCACUCUGGUCUCUUCUCUGAGGACACGAACACGGUGAACAGUGGGACUUGUCUUCAGCUUCAGGUGGAACAGGUCUGACCUGGACGGUGAUCAGCACUGGAGAGGAGAGACACCUGGUCCAACAAGGUGACGGACGAGCCGCCGCAGGACCUGAAGCAGGAAAACUGAGUAUCCGUCUUCUGAUGAAACUCCUUCAGGUCCUGCAGUUGUUUGCUGACUCUGGUUUCACCUGCUCAGACAGUGAGCACUGUUGUCUUUGCUGGUUAUUUACAUAAUAAAACCUUUUUUUGAAUUACA